rnacentral:lncRNA from 1 species
UGACUGCUCUCCGGCUAGCUUCCCCCGCACUUACCAUCAUCGCCCCGUUUUCUACUCUUCAGGACGCUCUUCCGGCCAUGAGAACACAAAUCCCCAAGAAAUACAGGACUUGGCUUGCCCCUUAGAGCUUGGUUUGAGGCACACUUUCUUUGGCUGAAGAAGCUUCUUGACACCAUGAAGUAUCAAGUCACAUUCGUUCCCAUUGUUGACUCAAAGAACAAUGGGUCCCGCUGCAAACCUAAGGCCACCAUAAUCAUCGUUGAGCUUGCUUCUCCACCCCAGGGUCUCUAAAUAAAACCUCUUCUUUCUCGGAAAAAAA